rnacentral:rRNA from 1 species
AGAGCGAACGCUGGCGGCAGGCCUAACACAUGCAAGUCGAGCGCCCCGCAAGGGGAGCGGCAGACGGGAGAGUAACACGUGGGAACGUACCCUUUGGUUCGGAACAACACAGGGAAACUUGUGCUAAUACCGGAUAAGCCCUUACGGGGAAAGAUUUAUCGCCAAAGGAUCGGCCCGCGUCUGAUUAGCUUGUUGGUGAGGUAACGGCUCACCAAGGCUACGAUCAGUAGCUGGUCUGAGAGGAUGAUCAGCCUCACUGGGACUGAGACACGGCCCAGACUCCUACGGGAGGCAGCAGUGGGGAAUAUUGGACAAUGGGCGCAAGCCUGAUCCAGCCAUGCCGCGUGGAUGAUGAAGGCCCUAGGGUUGUAAAGUCCUUUCGACGGGGAAGAUAAUGACGGUACCCGUAGAAGAAGCCCCGGCUAACGUUCGCGCCAGCAGCCGC